rnacentral:snRNA from 15 species
UUGCAGCAGAGUCAGCAGGGCGAGGCCCAUCGUCGGGAGUUGAAGGAGGCCAGC